ACACUUCGCUUGUAUCAUAGCUAGAGAGUUUAGCUUAUCCCAUAAUGAGCCACUAUGAUCGUAUCAUGAAGGUUUUAAAAGCGAACUUACUAACCAGCUAAGCCAUGGAUAAUGGGCCCAAAAUAACGAAGUAAUGGUAAUUUGCUCAUAAGGUGGUUAAUUCAUAUGAAUGAAUCUAUGUAUUACUGAUAGAAUUCCAGUUUAUACGUGUACCCAGCAGCAGACGGAACCUUAUAAAGUAUAACAGACACUAUGAAAAAUGUUACAUGUGACACACUAACUUUUUUUAAUAAAACUGAUCGAAUGACUAUAACACAAGCCAAGUUUCAGCACAACAAUUCUGCUUUUAACGUCAAGUGUUUAUGCCUUGAAAAGGAAAAGAUUUAGUAAAACUUAUUACAAAGGAUUAAUCAUUGAAUUGAAAAAAAUAGAAACUUAAAUAAUGUCUUAAAGUAAAUGGCAUCUUUGAAUAUUCUAACUGUGAUUUUUUCAUGUUAAAUUUAUGAUUCUAUAGAACUGAUUGUAUAAUUAAAAAAAAAAUUGUUGAAUUACAGUAAAGUUUUGUUUUAUGGAUUCUCAAAUUGAUCAAGUAUCUCGACAAUCGAAGGCAACCGAUUCCUGUGGUUUUAUUGGAAACUUUGAAACAAACAGUUAUUGGCUAAAUGCUUAUUAAAAUAAAA